rfam:Gossypium hirsutum cultivar TM-1 chromosome 11, whole genome shotgun sequence
GGAAGAUUAGCAUGGCCCUUGCGCAAGGAUGAAACGCACAAAUCAAGAAAUGAAUGGUUUUAUG